rnacentral:rRNA from 1 species
CUACGGGAUGCAGCAGUAGGGAAUCUUCCACAAUGGGCGAAAGCCUGAUGGAGCAACGCCGCGUGAGUGAAGAAGGUUUUCGGAUCGUAAAACUCUGUUGUAAGGGAAGAACAAGUACAGUAGUAACUGGCUGUACCUUGACGGUACCUUAUUAGAAAGCCACGGCUAACUACGUGCCAGCAGCCGCGGUAAUACGUAGGUGGCAAGCGUUGUCCGGAAUUAUUGGGCGUAAAGCGCGCGCAGGCGGUCCUUUAAGUCUGAUGUGAAAGCCCACGGCUCAACCGUGGAGGGUCAUUGGAAACUGGGGGACUUGAGUGCAGAAGAGGAAAGUGGAAUUCCAAGUGUAGCGGUGAAAUGCGUAGAGAUUUGGAGGAACACCAGUGUCGAAGGCUACUUUCUAGUCUGAAACUGGCGCUGGAGCCCGAAAGCGUGUGGAACAAACAGGAUUAGAUACCCCCGUAGUC